GGCCGGGUAGCUCAGUGGUAGAGCGAGGGACUGAAAAUCCCUGCGUGGGGGGUUCGAUUCCCUCCCCGGCCA
rnacentral:tRNA from 1 species